CGGCUGAGUUCUGGGUCACCUCCCACCCGUGUUUAUUUUACCUUGUUGCUUCGGCGGGCCCGCCUUAACUGGCCGCCGGGGGGCUUACGCCCCCGGGCCCGCGCCCGCCGAAGACACCCUCGAACUCUGUCUGAAGAUUGUAGUCUGAGUGAAAAUAUAAAUUAUUUAAAACUUUCAACAACGGAUCUCUUGGUUCCGGCAUCGAUGAAGAACGCAGCGAAAUGCGAUACGUAAUGUGAAUUGCAAAUUCAGUGAAUCAUCGAGUCUUUGAACGCACAUUGCGCCCCCUGGUAUUCCGGGGGGCAUGCCUGUCCGAGCGUCAUUGCUGCCCUCAAGCACGGCUUGUGUGUUGGGCCCCGUCCUCCGAUCCCGGGGGACGGGCCCGAAAGGCAGCGGCGGCACCGCGUCCGGUCCUCGAGCGUAUGGGGCUUUGUCACCCGCUCUGUAGGCCCGGCCGGCGCUUGCCGAUCAACCCAAAUUUUUAUCCAGGUUGACCUCGGAUCAGGUAGGGAUACCCGCUGAACUUAAGCAUAUCAAUAAGCAGAGGAA
rnacentral:rRNA from 1 species